UUCUUUGAAAACAAAAUUAUUUUGAAGGUAUAAAAGUCACUAAUUUAGUCAAAAUCCCGAAUUUUGCAUAAUAGACAGAAAGGGCUCAGAGAGAGUGUACUUUGCCUGAGGUCAUGAAACCAACUAGAUGCAGACCAGGAAUACACUUCUGGUCUUACCAAGCCUAGAGUUCUAUGCCAGUUACUUCCUCAUAGUCAGGAAAAAUACGUAUAUUUUAAGUAUAACUCAGAGAAAAUGAAUACAUAAAACUUUGUCAUGUGGCUCAAUAAUGUUUAGGUAUGAGGCACACAAUAGUAGCUCUCUAACUAAAUUACAAAUUUUAAAGUCAUGAAUAAAAAUAAAGGAACAGAAAUUAUGUUAACUCCUUUUAGUAGCAGUCAGUUUUUAAGCACAACGUUUUUAAACCACAGGACAGAGAACUUGAGAGAGAGAAGCUUUAGGUGAAGCAAGCAAGCUGAAACUGAGGAAAUUCUUCCUGAAAGAAUGAUUUAUUUCUUCCCAAGAAAUUUUGGUUUAUCAAAAUCAAUCAACAAAUGAGGGAACCCAUGGUGUGGUUAUUUACAGCAAAAUUUAAAACCCAACAGAUUUCUCUUUCCCAUCUAGCAUGCUUCUGUCUAACGUCUCAUCAUUAGUUGGUAUGUACAAAAGACACAAUUCACUUUAUUUAUAAUUUAAAUCUGGUCAGAAAUAAUAGGUGAACCUUCACUUCUCACAUUUGGACUUAUCUCUCUCUCCCUCCCGACAGGAAGGGAGACUUACCUAAUGGGUGAAUUUGGGAGAAGGAGCUAAGCAGUGCUUAUGUGUUUCUGAAUCUCCUCUUUGAAAAGAUGUGCCUGCCCACAGUAACAUGAAUUUGGGUCUGCUCUCAGCUCUGGGAAAGAGAAGAGCAGUGUUACUUGCCACCUACCCAGUGUCACCUGUCACAGCUCCACCAAGAAAAAUGACUAGACAACACUUACAGAAACAUUCUCUUCUUCCUUGACUUCAUAACUAAUGUACAUUGUUCAAAAGCAACGCCCACUCAAAAGAGAGAAAAAGUUGAAAGAAACCAUUUUAGAAACAAACAUAGAAAGUCAGACAAACUGAGGACACAGAGGAAUACCUUCCAAAUGAAAGAACAUGACAAAACCUAAGAAAAAAGAAACUAACAAAACUAAGAAAAAAAAACUAAGAAAAAAAACAGAGAUAAGUGAUGUACCUCAUAAAGAGUUCAAGGUAAAGGUCAUAAAGAUGCUCAGUGAACUUGGGAGGAGAAUGAAUGGAUCCAGUGAUAACAUCAACAAAGAGAUAGAAAAUAUAAAAAAGAACCAAUCAGAGCUGAAGGAUACAAUAAGAGAAAUGACAAAUACACUAGAGGGAAUCAACAGCAGGUACAAAGAUGCAGAAGAACAGAUCAACAAUUUGCAAGACAGGGUAGUAGAAAUCAUCCAAGAUGAAAAACAAAAAGAAAAAAGAACUUUGAAAGUGAGACUAGGUUAAGGGACCUGUGGGACAACAUCCAGUGUAAUAAUACUUGCAUUCAAGGGGUUCCAGAAAAAGAAAAGAGAAAGGGGCAAAGAACUCAUUUGAAGAAAUAAAAGCUUUAUUUUAAAAAUGCAAA